GACAGAGGUGCCGAGCGUUAGGCGGAAUCACUGGGCUUAAAGCGUGUGUAGGCGGGCGAUCAAGUACCUUGUGAAAUCCCACGGCUCAACCGUGGAACCGCUGGGUAUACUGGUUGUCUUGAGCCGGCUAGGGGCGAGCGGAACAGACGGUGGAGCGGUGAAAUGCGUAGAUAUCGUCUGGAACGCCGAAGGUGAAAACAGCUCGCUGGGGCCGCGCUGACGCUGAGACACGAAAGCCAGGAGAGCGAACGGG
rnacentral:rRNA from 1 species